UAUCCUAUAAGCAGCAACCAAAGGCUUGAGAGGUUCAGUUCAAUUCAGGCAUUCAGACAAUUGCCAUUGUUUCUGUCAGGGAAGGUAUCAUUCAACUCGGUUCAUUUGACAAGACUGUGGAAGAUCUCGAUCUGGUGAUCAGAGCAUACAGAGGAAAUUCAGCUACCUCCAGACCAUACCAGGUGUCUUUUCCAUUCAAAGACCAUUCAUUCCAAUUCAACAUCCAUACGACCUUAGGACGUAACCAGAUACUUGAAAACCAUGAAACAGCAUUCUGUCUCGAUGAGAAGCGCCAGUUAAUUGGAACAAAGAGAUUGGUCAUCGAAAGCUGGAAGACUCUCCAAUGAAAUCCAUCGACUUAGG